GACGAACGCUGGCGGCGUGCUUAACACAUGCAAGUCGAACGGAAAGGCCCUGCUUUUGUGGGGUGCUCGAGUGGCGAACGGGUGAGUAACGCGUGAGUAACCUGCCCUUGACUUUGGGAUAACUUCAGGAAACUGGGGCUAAUACCGGAUAGGAGCUCCUGCUGCAUGGUGGGGGUUGGAAAGUUUCGGCGGUUGGGGAUGGACUCGCGGCUUAUCAGCUUGUUGGUGGGGUAGUGGCUUACCAAGGCUUUGACGGGUAGCCGGCCUGAGAGGGUGACCGGCCACAUUGGGACUGAGAUACGGCCCAGACUCCUACGGGAGGCAGCAGUGGGGAAUAUUGCACAAUGGGCGGAAGCCUGAUGCAGCAACGCCGCGUGCGGGAUGACGGCCUUCGGGUCGUAAACCGCUUUCGCCUGUGACGAAGCGUGAGUGACGGUAAUGGGUAAAGAAGCACCGGCUAACUACG
rnacentral:rRNA from 1 species